rnacentral:rRNA from 1 species
CCUACGGGAGGCAGCAGUGAGGAAUAUUGGUCAAUGGCCGGAAGGCUGAACCAGCCAAGCCGCGUGAAGGACGAAGGUGCCAAGCAUUGUAAACUUCUUUUGUCAAGGGACAAAAUCAGGCUCGAGAGCCUGACCGAGGGUACUUGAAGAAAAAGCAUCGGCUAACUCCGUGCCAGCAGCCGCGGUAAUACGGAGGAUGCGAGCGUUAUCCGGAUUUAUUGGGUUUAAAGGGUGCGUAGGCGGGCUGUUAAGUCAGCGGUAAAAGCCCGGGGCUCAACCCCGGCGAGCCGUUGAAACUGGCUGUCGUGAGAUGGCGAGAGGUAUGCGGAAUGCGCAGUGUAGCGGUGAAAUGCUUAGAUAUUGCGCAGAACUCCGAUUGCGAAGGCAGCAUACCGGCGACGAUCUGACGCUGAGGCACGAAAGCGUGGGUAUCGAACAGGAUUAGAUACCCGUGUAGUC